rnacentral:tRNA from 1 species
GCCUGGGUGGCUCAGUCAGUUAAGCAUCUGACUUCAGCUCAGGUCAUGAUCUCACAGUUCGUGGGUUCAAGCCCCGUGUCAGGCU